rnacentral:lncRNA from 1 species
GAUAAUAUAUGUGAGGUUUUCAUACAUUUUGACUUUUCCUACAAAAUCACAUGAAAUACAAUAAAAAAUAACCAUAGUUACUUGAGAACUUACAAUUAUAGUUUGGUAGUUCCCGCCUUUUACAGCGAGUACCAUGGCUUCUCAGCCACCGGCGGAGCUUCUCUGACCACCGAACUUUCCCUCACAGACCGACAUAUAUGUAUCCGAUCUGCACAGAGAUCUUCACCCACUCAUGUGACACACAACUCCUAACCUGUACUCCAAUCAGAUAACUUUUCAGCUCAAAUUUCAGAAGGGCAAUUACAAUAGGCACAGGCGAUCAUCAAUCAGGCUCAAUCAAAAAUGCAGGGCAAGCUGGGGGUGAUGACAAUGUAAUUUGCACCGGCGACCUAUCUAAAGUAUAAUCAACCGGAGCUAGCAUCAACAGAGAAACUACAUAUGAUUUAAGAUCAAUUGCAAUCUAUUCUGAAUUACUCAUUGUCUAACGAUGGAGGUAAGUUGUCUGUUACUCAAUCAUCUAGUGAGAUACCUACUAUGGUGAAAACCCUGGUAUUACCCAACAAAAGGAAUGGUAUGUAUGUUCCGAUGUCCAUGCCGGGGAAUGAAGCUCCUGUACCUAUUAGUACUCAAGGUACUACUGGUGUUUGGUUCAAACCAGGUCAUGGAAAUAGACCCCCUAUGCCUAGGGUCACUCACUCCUUGGCCAUGAAGCUGAGAGAACAAGAGGCGAUAAAAGCUGAGCUUAUUCACAUUGAGCCACCAAGAAUAACAACCAAACAAGGCCAUCUAGUGGUUGUGUUUAAGUCUGAAGACUUCAAAGUAAAAUUAGUAAAGAGAUGUCGGUUUACCUUAAUUGGGAAAUUUGAAAACAACAUGCCCAAAAGGGAAGUGAUUAGAAGACAAUUUAUCCUGCAAACAAAAUUAAAAGAGAGGGUUAAAAUUACUCAUUUUAAUUCAAGGAAUCAAUAUAUUGACCUUGACAAUGAGUAUGAUCACUCAACGUUUUGGUCUAAAGGAAAGAUGUACAUCCAAGGUCAGCUGAUGAGACUUCAAUUGUGGACCCCCACUUUUAACCCUGAGGAAGAAACUCCAUUGGUCCCUGAAUGGGUUAGUUUGCCUAAGCUUCCCUGGUAUUGCUACUGUCUGGAGGUAGUGGUACCUCUUUUAUCCCCUAUUGGCAAGGUCUUAUUUAUAGAUUUGGAAACUUACAAGAAAACUAGGGAUAGUAUGGCUAAGGUCAAGUUGCAAAUUAACCUCACCAAGCCAAGACCCCAGCAUGUUUGGUUGGGCUAUGAUGAAGAUGAACAUUGCAAAGGCAGAUGGCAAACCAUUUUGUAUGAAGAGAUCACUGAAUAUUAUUCUUAUUGCAAGCAUCAAGGUCAUGUUGCAAGAUCUUGUAUCGUCAAAGAAAAAGAUGAGGAUGCUAGGAAAAAGCUGGUUAAAGAUACUCAGUGAGAAGGUCCCCAGGAAGAAGCUCCAACAUGCCAUGGGAUGCAGAAUCUAACUGGUACAUUGCGGCAACAAAGUACAGAUAAAGGUAAUGAAUGGCAUAACCAAAAAAGAAGGAAUAUAGACAACCAAAGACUUGUAUUCAAACCAAGGUUUCCAGCUAAGUAUAAAAGUGGACAACCAUACACUUCUGCUCCAUCCACAUCAAAUGAUUUUAUAGCUCUUCAACAUGAGAGUGAGAACACAAUUAAUUUCCCAGGCAUUGAUGAAAGGGGUCCCAAUCCAAUUAUACAAUAAAUAAAAGAAUCUGAAAAUGACAAGCAUGAUAAUCAUCAAGUAGCUGAUGCAAGUGACAGGCACCUUUUACCUAAUUAGUAAGCAAACCAGAGGAUAUUUGCAGCCUAUAGAGGAUGGAAUAUCUACUACAAAGGUGAUAAUAAGUGAGAAUGUGGCCCUUGCCCAGCCAUAAAAUACAGUGAUGCUUGAUGAAGGAAUGAAUAUUGGUAUAGAACCUACUGUUGUACUAUAAGAGGCUUCCCCUAGCUGGCAAGAGAAAGUGGAUCUUGAACAGAUGUAGGAUCAAGUCACUGAAAUGUGCCCCCAGUGUUUUCCUCAGGAACUUGAUGAUGAAUACAGAGUGAUACAUUCAGAAGAUGAUGCAGAUGAUGGUCUCUUGGGUUAGCUGGGGAAUAUUAAUGAAAAAGGGACUGAUGUAUUUAAUCCAGAAGAUUAAGAGGAGUUUGUUAAAGAGGUAAACCAUAUAACUAGCUAGCAUGGAUUAUCUCCCAGAGAGUCCUUAGCUAAAUCAAGGAAAGGGAGAAAACACACUGUACCCAACCCAAAUGGGCAUACAGCUAGACCUCUCACUAGGUCUUAUUUCUAUAAACCAGUACAAUAAUCAGUCAUCUUAUUUGAAAUUCAAGGGGUAUAUUUACCCAAGGUGUUAUGUAAAGACUCCAACAACUCAUAAAUAUUCACCAUAUAUCUUUGAUUGCUAUUCUGGAACCUUUCUCCAACAAUAUACAUCUUGAAGAAGCAAAAAGGAAACUCAAGAUGGAACAUGCUCUUUGUAACUCCAAUGGCAAGAUUUGGCUCUUCUGGUCAUUGGAUAUCUAUUGUGAUGUCAUUACUACUAAGGAACAAUAGAUUACUUUCUCACUCACACACUCUACUUUGUCCCAAACAUAUCUUAUGACAUCUGUUUAUGCCAAGUGCAGAGACACACUAAGAAGACCUUUGUGGAAUAAUUUGGUACAACUGUCUCCUUUAACUCAACCUCGGUGUACAAUUAGGGACUUCAAUGUAAUUACAAAAGUAUAUGAAAAAUUAGGGGGUAUCCCUUAUGACAUAAGAAAAAUUUUUGAAUUUAUGGGGGUGAUUGAGGCUUGUGGACUAAUUGACUUAGGAUUUUAUGGUUCCAAGUUCACUUGGUCUAACUUGAGAGGUGCUCAGUUUAGAAUAUGGAAGAGACUGUAUAGAGCAAUGGUAUUUGAUGCUUGGUUGAAAGAUAUUCCAUUAAGCACCAUCACUCACUUAUCUUCUGUGGGGUCUGAUCAUUGUCCCCUACUCCUGGAAAUGCAAGAAAGGGUGGAUUCAUAUGUCAAAUAUUUCAAAUUCUUAGAUUGUUGGGUGGAACAUCCCAUUUUUAUUAACACUGUUGAGAAUUGUUGGCAAAAGCCUUGUGCAGGAAUACCCAUGUGGAGAUUUCAGUAGAAACUGAAAAGAUUAACAUCUACUUUAAGUUAAUGGUCUAAAGAGGUAUUUGGUGAUAUCUAUGCCAAUGUCAAAAUGUAUGAAGAAAGGGUCAAGCUAGACAAGGAAAAGUUUAUCUUUAAUAGUACUGAUGAAAACACAAAGGAAUUUCAUAAAACCCAAGCUGAAUAUAUCAGACAUCUCAAAGUGAAGGAUGCUAUCUUAAGGAAAUAAUCUCAACUACACUAGUUUAAAUAUGGUGAUGCUAAUUCAAGCUACUUCCAUGCCUUUAUUUGAGGAAGAAAAAAAAGAAGAAGAAUGUUCAUGCACAAAGUCAAGAAUGAGGAGGGGGUUUGGUUCCAAGGGGAUGAUGACAUAACUGCAGCUGCAAUUACAUAUUUCCAGGGUAUCUUUACUGGGAAAGCAAAGUAUGUACCUGAUGAGAUGCUUGAUAACGCUCAAUCUACAGCUCUCGUGGGAGUGUAAAGCGGUCGUUAGCAAAUAUAGAACCCAACCUGGGUUGGGUAUCGAUCCCACAGAGAAUAGCUUGGCCAACAAGCAAGAGAAAUUACUAGACUUUUAGUGCAAGUCUCGUAGGAAAGGGGGGAUUGUAGUAUGUAACCAAAACAAGAAUGUAAGAACUGAAAAUAGCAAAAUAAAGAGAGAUUGUCACGUGUGUUGUAAACAAUGAGAAUUGAGGCGUUGGGGUUAUGUCCACCUUCUGAGGUAUACGUCUCUAUUGGCUAUGAGUGUGUAGAGUCUUGACAUGUAAUUGCUUAUAGAGAAUUGUAGUCGAUGGUAAAUCCAAGCGUCUCUCGACCUAAACAAGGACUAUUUCACUUUAACUCUCUCGAGCUUAAAGCGUGACUAACGGUACGAAUUCUCCAAGAAGUUAGUCCAGGUACGGCACUAGCUUUUUAAUAGGAAAGGGUGUCCUACUACCUUGACAUUAUCUCUUUUCCAGACAAAUAACUUUUCUCUCGAACAAGUCAGAUGUUAGACUGGCGUUGGUCUAUGCGUCUUCUUUUCUAGACAAAUAACCUUUCUCUCGAACAGGUUAGAUGUUAGAAUGGCGUGUUCUUGUGUUUGAACCGCAAAGAAUGUAGAUUUAAGAUGAAGAGAAUAAUGAUAUAAGCAAUAUACUUGUCUUGAACUCACAAACUCAUAGCUAUAGAUAGUAACUCAUUCGGCUUCCAUAACCCCAACUAAGAGAUUUAGUUACCCAUGAAUGCGAAGGAUAUCACGCUUUGCAUGGUGGAUGGCGUGAAUAGUAGGUGUUUGGCGUGUGGUUUUAGUGAUUCCGUAGCAAGUAACGAUUCUCUUGUUGUGGAAUUUAAGAGUAGAAGAAUGAAGAAUUGAGAAUGGGUUGUAGGAAGAUGUCUUAAUUGUAAGGAGAUGAAUGAAUUGUCAGAAUGUCUCCCUUCUUGAAAAUCUCUAACAUGAUAGGGUAUUUAUAAUACUCCUAUCCUACUCCUACUAAACUAAUAAAAUAAAUAACCAAAUCCUAAUAUACUAAUGAAAUCCUUGACCCAAUUGUACUAGGGUAAGGUUACAAAAUUAUAAUCCAAAUAGAAUGAUGAAACACAUAACCUAAUUGCACUAGGUUAAUGUAUUAUGGCAAAAAUCCAGCUUUGUGUCUGUAAGUCCCAAAGUCUUCAGAAAUGCUGUUUUAGCCCGGGACAGAUUUUCCAUGCAGCAGAUUUAGUCCUUUAUGCGUCCAGCUCCUUUCCAUCUCGUUUGUGAGCUUUCUUUUGCGUCAAGUAAGCCAUAAAUUGCUGUAUUUUGCAUCAUUUAUACCUGAAACUUUCCUAAUCACAUUUGUUAGCUCAUUUACAGGAAAAAGGACUAAAAGUGUACGAAAUAGAUAAUUAGUUCUCGAAACUAGGCUAAAAUAUGGGCAAAAUAUAUUGAUAUAGGCGCGUAAUUUCGCCUAUCAUCAACACCCCACACUUAGAGCUUUGUUCGUCCUCGAACAACAUAUCAUGUCCUUCUAAGCAUUGACUUAAGGUUUUUACAGAAACAACACAAAACAUUCUUCAAGACAAGCACAACAAUUAUCAACGAAGAGUAGCUUUCCGAUUAUAAGUAGAAACAAUUUAACCUCAAGCAUAGACUCGUGAUGGUGAUCAACUCGCAUGCAAACGUUUAAGGUACAUAGAAUCAUAUACAACUAUCCAAAACUCAUCAACCAUGUGUGUCUCACAAUAUAGUACCCAUAAUCACUCACAAGUAUAGCAUAUUUUUCAAACAUGGGCAGCAAAGUAUCCUUGCGCUCACUCUCACAAAGAAUUCAUAUGUAGCAGCUAAUGACCAUAGGCUUGCCCUUAAUGUAGUACUCCACUAAAUGUCGGAAUGUUAAGGUUAGGAUCAAGUAGGUCUUUUGAUGGUUGUAAUGUAGGCUAAGGGACGGGUAGGAUCAACUAUUUUGGCCAGAAAUAGUGACUAAGUUCCUAAGCACUUUAAUACAUCACAUUGUAUUAUUGACACUUUUUUGUAGCACCCUUGUUCUCCUCUUUUGUUUUUCAAUUUUAAAGCACAACUCACUUUUCAGCUUUCUUUUCCUUUUUCUUCUCACAACAUACCUCUUAUGAUAGCACUUUCUUUUUCAUAACAUAUUCAAGCACCAUUACAAUUUAAAGCAUCAUACUCAACCAAUUUCCUCUUAUGUUGUCACAUGACUUUUUCACUUUAAAGCACUUAGGAAUUUGGAUCAAAUUACGGUCUUGAAAAAAAAAUGAAUUAGGCUUACAUACAAGGUUGUCAAAGAAAUAGGCUAAAGGCUCAAAAGGGUUUAACUAGGAUGAUGUCCAUGGGUAGGUAAAACUGAAGGUAAACAAAUAUAGGUUGCCAAAGAAAUGCCUAAAUCAUAUCCUAAACUUACACUCCUUAUUUUCGCUUUGCAUACAUACCAGGCAAGUUCUAGCAUCAGCCACAUACAUAGAAUAUACUAUUAUCUCACACACACAAGGCACAUGGUCGACUUGAUUGGUAGCAAUAUAGACUCUCAACCCAACAAGUGAAGGAAUUGAAUCACACACUAUCACAUAAUGAGUCACAACUAGAGCCUAAAUGUCUCAAUAGUCACAAUUGUAAUACAUACUAUUGUUAUAAUCUCAUGCUGCCUAUUAAAAUAAUUUCAUGCGAGGCUAGAAAAAUUUUAACUACUAAAAACUAAAAAAAAAACGUCACACGAAAAAAAUCACAAAAAAAAAUCGGACUCAAAACAAAAUAAAUAAAACAAAAUAAACAAGCAAACAUACAAAUAUAGCAUGCAGAUUCUGCCGACACCCCACACUUAGACUAGACACUGCCCUCAGUGGAAAAUAAAGUCGAAGAACCUGAUUAGUCGGACUCUUCCUCAAUGUCAUACCCCCUUCGUUCGAGUCAUCGUAAGAGUCAUCGUCAGAGUUCUCCUCAGCAUCAGAAUCAGGCAAGCGUCUAUCAUCAUCAGUUGGCACGUCAUCAUCAAGAGGUUCCUCGAAAUAUACUCCCACUCCACACAUCUCCCGGGCAUGUCUGUUCAUUGGGUAGUCGUGGUCCAGCUGUUGGAGCUCUUCAGCAGUUGGAAUACGUCCACCACUCAUCAUAGUGAAUCUCGUCAUGCCAUAGAGAUGACGGAAGAAACUCUCGUCACGAGCAUGUCUCUCCGCAGUGGUAAGGUUGACUCCAUGCGUUGUUUCAGCAUCUUUGACCUUGGUGAGGUCAACCUUCUUUGGGGUAUGUGGGAGUUUGUGGUCAGCUGGUUCCUCCUCUAUAUCCUCCUUCCGCAACAUUGCUGUCAACAAAUUGCCGAAUGUGAAAUAGGACCAUUCACAUUCACAUCAGUCUGGCUUUCCUCAUGGUGGAUCGAAUGAUUGCCCCAAAGUUGAUAGGGACAUUCGUCAUUAAUGAAUAAACCAGGCACACUCUAUCUCUCGAUAUCUUUGUGUAUUGCGUCCCAGGAAUGAGGCAUGAGUUGACAAUGCGCAUCCAGAUUCUUGCUUCCCUAUUUAGUGGAGCAUAGGGGAAUGUGUUGUGACGGCCUGUUUCCUUAUGUCUGCCCCAUCUCGCCAUCGAUCUGCUUCCACAAAGCGUGUGUCUUAUAGCUCUGUAAGGAGGUCUGCUGUACAGCUCUUUGUAUGGUGCAGUGUCGACCGAAGGUAGGCCUAGAAACGAGUUGAUCCAAUCCGCUGUAAGCUGUAACACUUGGCCCCGAAUUUUGACUUCGUUGCCUGUUGUGUUUGGCGACCAGUUGGCAUAAAACUCUCUUGUCAAGUCAAGAUUGCACUCUCCCAUGUCACGGAAGAUGAAAUCCAGCUUCAAAGCCAUAAUCUUAGCCAACAUUUGCGGCUCCUUCUUUGCUAAGGUCUCCUUAUUGAUUAAGUCGACGUGCACAUAUUUCUUUUCUUUGUUGCUGCUGUACCAUGCCUUGGCUUCUUCCUCAAGAACCCAUUUGAUUCCGAACAUUCUGCGUGGUAGGUGUGCGGAAGAUGAUUCGCCUUGGUCUUUUCGGCUUCUCUUUUUGUCCUUGCGGGUUGUGGUAGCCUUCUCCUUGCCUUGCCUUGCUUUCGGUGCCAUUGUACCGCCUUUACCAUACAACGCGACCAAAUCGUCAAUUGAAAUCAAUCUCCUCGUUGCAUACUUCUUACACCUAUAUUUGCUCAAACAAAUGAAAACGAUUAGUACGAUGGGUUGCCUCCCACCAAGCGCCUUAGUUUUGGUCGUGGCACGACUCUUAUUUUUGGAUUUUCAUUUAUCAAAAAGAAAAAAUACUAAAACGACAAAACGAUAAAACAAUAAAACGAAGGGUUGCCUCCCAUCUAGCGCCUUAUUUAUUGUCGUGGCUCGACGUAGUAAUCUCGAGUACUUAGACUUCGUCGAGAUAAGUGAUGGCCAUGUCAUUUAUCGAGUCAAGAGGACCGAUAUAUGGCUUAACACGUUGGCCAUUCACCUUGAAGAUAACACCCUCAUUAUUUUCCAAUUCGACUACUCCAAACGAGUAGACGUGGGUGACUUUAAAUGGACCAGACCACUUUGAUUUUAACUUACCUGGGAAGAGCUUGAAUCUGGAGUUAAAGAGUAGCACCAUGUCACCUUUUUGGAAGUGUCGUCGAACAAUCCGCUGAUCGUGAUACUUCUUCAUCCGCUCCUUGUAUAAAUCUGAUCUUUCAUAAGCAUGGAGACGGAAUUCAUCUAGCUCGUUCAGCUGCUCCAACCUCAGGUUCUUCACAUCAUCCCAAUUCAGAUUCAAGUGCUUCAAUGCCCAUAAUGCCUUGUAUUCAAGCUCGAUGGGUAGAUGACAAGCCUUCCCAUAAACUAGCUGAUAAGGUGACAUGCCAAUGGGUGUCUUGAAUGCAGUCCUAUACGCCCAUAGUGCAUCAUCUAGCUUCCGAGACCAAUCCUUCCGAUUCGCAUUGACCGUCUUGGCAAGGAUUUGCUUGAUCUCCCGAUUGGAAACCUCUACUUGUCCACUAGUUUGGGGAUGAUAAGGCGUAGCUACCUUGUGUUGCUUGACUCCAUACUUGGCCAAUACAGAUUUGAAUAGCUUGUUGCAGAAGUGAGAUCCUCCAUCACUUAUGAUAGUACGAGGUACCCCAAAGCGAGAGAAGAUAUUCUUCUUUAAAAACGCUACAACACGCUUUCCUUCAUUAUCGGCCAAUGCUACAGCUUCAACCCAUUUCGACACAUAAUCCACAGCAACCAAGAUGUACUUCAUUCCAAACGAAUUUACGAAUGGUCCCAUGAAAUCAAUACCCCAUACAUCAAAGAGUUCUACCUCCAGGAUUGUGGACAUGGGCAUUUCAUGGUGUUUUGAAAUAACACCUUGACGUUGGCAUUGGUCACACCUUCUCACAUAGUCGUGUGCAUCUCUGAAUAUUGUAGGCCAAUAAUAACCACUUUGCAAGACUUUUCUUGCUGUUCGAUUACCCGCAUGAUGUCCUCCAACUUGCGAAGUGUGGCAUGCUUCUAAUAUAGUGGGCACUUCGUCAUGGGAUAUACAUCGUCGAAUGAUACCAUCCGCACAUCUUCGAAACAAAUAAGGCUCAUCCCAAUAAUAGUGCUGAACGUCAUGCAUAAACUUCCUCCUCUGGUGGUAAGAUAAAUUUGUAGGUAACACAUUACUCACCACGAAAUUCGCAAAGUCGGCAUACCAUGGUAAGUCUUCUAUUGUUGUCGCUAAUAUCUCCUCGUCAGGGAAUGCAUCGCCAAUCUGAUUUUCUGAUUGCGCCACAUACUCAUUCUCAAGUCUAGAUAGGUGAUCAGCCACUUGGUUCUCGCAACCUCUUCUAUCUUUGACUUCGAAAUCAAACUCUUGCAGCAGCAACACCCAUCGAAUCAGCCUUGGUUUUGCAUCCUUCUUUGUCAUUAGAUACCUAAGAGCUGCAUGGUCUGUAUGAACGAUCACUUUAGUACCUAAUAGGUAGGCGCGGAACUUCUCAAACGCAUACACAACCGCUAAUAGCUCUUGUUCAGUGACGGUGUAGUUCCUUUGGGCUUCAUUGAGGACCUUACUCGCAUAGUAGAUAGGAUGAAAUAAUUUCUCCUUUCUCUGUCCAAGAACAGCACCAACGGCUACACCACUAGCAUCACACAUGACUUCGAACGGGAGCGUCCAAUCUGGUGUUACCAUGAUAGGGGCUUCAACGAGUUUUUCUUUAAGGCAUUCAAAUGCCUUUAAGCAAUCAUCAUUAAAGUCAAACUUCGCAUCUUUCUCCAAUAGCUUGCAUAAUGGACUAGAAAUUUUGGAGAAGUCUUUGAUGAAUCUACGAUAAAACCCAGCAUGGCCAAGAAAACUACGAACUCCCUUCACCGAAAUUGGAGGUGGUAGCUUCUCAAUUACCUCUAUUUUGGCGCGAUCAACCUCUAUUCCUUUUUCGGAGAUCUUGUGCCCAAGAACAAUUCCUUCUUUUACCAUGAAGUGGCACUUCUCCCAAUUCAGCACAAGGUUGAACUCUACACAUCUUUGUAAUGCCAUGCUUAAAUUCACCAAACAUGCUUCGAAAGACUCCCCAACAACUGAAAAGUCGUCCAUAAAUACCUCCAAAGUGUCUUCUACCAUAUCAGAGAAAAUAGACAUCAUACAUCGCUGAAAGGUGGCUGGUGCAUUACAUAACCCGAAUGGCAUACGUUUGAAGGCAAACGUACCAUAUGGGCAUGUAAACGUUGUCUUCUCUUGGUCUUCUGGUGCAAUAAAAAUCUGAUUAUAACCUGAAUAACCAUCAAGAAAGCAAAACCAUCCUUUUCCCGCUAAUCGAUCUAGCAUUUGGUCCAUAAAUGGCAUGGGGAAGUGAUCCUUGAGAGUCCAAGAAUUCAGCUUGCGGUAGUCCAUGCAUACUCUCCAUCCAGUGACGGGCCUGAGUGGAAUAAGCUCAUUCUUUGCAUUCGCAACCACCGUCAUACCUCCUUUCUUGGGAACACAUUGUACUGGGCUUACCCAUGUACUAUCAGAAAUAGGAUACACAACUCCUGCGUCUAACCACUUGAUAAUCUCCUUCUUCACCACCUCUUGCAUUGGUGGGUUUAGACGUCUUUGGUGUUCGAUGGUGGGUGUGCACUUUUCUUGGAGCUGAAUUUUAUGAGUGCAAAUUCCAGGUGGAAUACCAAGGAUAUCCGCAAUGGUCCAUCCAAUAGCUCUAAUAUACUUGCGUAAAAUUGCAAUAAGAGCUGCAACUUGUUGCUCACCUAAAUCGGCUGCCACUAUGACUGGAAGAGUGUUUCCGCUUCCUAAGAAUGCAUACUUCAAAUGGCUUGGCAGCUCCUUUAAUUCUAAUGUGGGUGGUUCUUCAAUAGAUGGCUUAGCUGGUGGUGUGGGUCGAUUCUUGAGAUCAAGAUCCAGCUUCUUAGGAGGAUAGCGAUAUGCUCCUAAUCCCGAUAGAGCACAAAUAUCAUCUUCAGAAAUUUCAGCAUCAUCAUCAUCUUCUUCCAUGAGCAAAACCUCCAAAGGAUCAUCAAGAAUUUGUUCUUCAGCAAGUAACUCAUCCUCGUCAUCAACGACAACAUCAGUCACAGAAAAUACACUUAGAUCUUUGGGUUGCUUCAUUGAUUUGCAAACAUCAAAGCGCACCACUUCAUCAUUUAUUCGGAAUGAAAGUUCAUUAGCUCUCAAAUCUAUGAGCACACUUCCCGUAGCAAGGAAAGGGCGUCCCAAGAUUAUGGGAACCUCUGAAUCUGCUUCGCAAUCCAAGAUGACAAAGUCUGCUGGAAAUAUGAAUGAAGAUACCUUCACCAAGACAUCGCAUAGAAUACCAACCGGUCGUUUUACCGACCUAUCCGCCAUAACAAGCUUCAUAUUAGUUGGUGUAGGAUCUCCCAACCCCAACUUCUUGUAGAUUGAUAAUGGCAUCAAGUUGAUGCUGGCUCCUAAGUCACAUAAUGCUUUAGCAAAGUCCAAAGAUCCGACGGUGCAAGGAAUAGUGAAAGCUCCGGGGUCGGCCUUCUUCUGAACUAUGGAUCGGGUAGCUAUUGCACUACAAUGAUGCACAUCUUCUUUCAGCUCAUAGCUUGCUGCCCUCUUCUUAGUCAAAAGAUCUUUCAUAAACUUCGCAUACCCAGGCAUUUGUUCAAGUGCCUCUACCAAUGGGACAUUAAUAGUCAGCUGCUUCAAGAUGGUCAUGAACUUGCUGAACUUAGUGUCAUCGGCCGCCUUCUUCAGUCUUUGUGGAAAAGGUGGUGGUGGGUAUGGAAGUGUUCUUUCCAUGGCUUUCUUCUCCUCUUGCUUCCGUUUAUUACUUUUUUCAGGCUGCACGUCACUAGGCAACACGUCCUUGACGUUGGAAGUGGAUAUUGCGGCGUCUUCCCUAGUGGCGUCACUAGGUGUGGCGGUUGUGUCUGCUGUUCUGUCAACUAUUUGCUUGCCUUCUGCUGAAGUUUCCAGCACCUUACCACUCCUCGUAGUGAUGGCCAUGCAUGACCCAUCAGUCCUUGGAUUUUGCACCGUAUCGCUAGGCAAGGUGCCGGCUUUUCUUUGGUUGAGUGUUGCUGAAAGUUGACUGAAUUGCUGCUCUAGUUGCUUGAUAGAAGUGGAAUGAGAAUCAACUAAUUGCUUCAUGGAGGCCAAAUCGUCAAUCACCUCCUUAACUCCCGCAUUCGUCGCUUCCACUCCUUUCAAUAACUUAGCCAUCAUGUCUUCCAUAGAAUUAGAUGUGGUGGUAUCACGUCUACCAGGGGGAACGUACAAACCACUGUUUUCAUUAUUUUUCUUCCAACUACCUUGGUCUUUACCUCCAGAUUUGUCAUAAUAGUUCCGACCUUGGUUUCCUUGGGCAUUCCCACGGAAACCCCCCUGAUUGUUCAAGUAGUUGGCCUCCUCUUCUGAAUCAGAUUCGUCUCUUCCUUUUGACGCAAUAGAUUUCACUUUUUCAGUCUUCCCUAAUAGAUGCUUUGUAAGAAGAUCCAUUUGGGUUUUCAUGUGCGCCAUAUCUUGAUCACGUUCUUCUUCUCUCCUUCUUUGAUCUGCAGACAUGCCAAUAGAUAAAGUGGGGCUUGCUACCUCAGAAUCCCUGGUAUGCCAAGCUCUACUUUGUUUCGUCAUACGAUCUAGCAUGUUGCUUGCUUGACCAAAGGUGAGGUCCAUAAAAGAACCUCCAGCUGCGUUGUCCACCACUGGUUUAGUUACUGAAUUCAAGGCUCUAUAUAAGAUCUCCAUGAGGUGAACAUUAGUCAUGUGAUGGUUUGGGCAUCUCGCUAGCUUUGUCUUGAACCUCUCCCAUGUUUCGUGAAGAGCUUCAGAGGGAAGCUGACGAAAGUUGCUGAUUUCAUCUCUCAAUUGAGCCCUCUUGGAUGGCGGAAAGAAUCUUUCUAGGAAAGCGUCUCUCAAUUGCCUCCAAUUUGUAAUAGAAUCAGGAGUCAGCCCAUUCAACCAUAAUGUUGCCUCCCCAGACAGAGACAAUGGAAAUAGACGUAAUCGAAUAGCAUUCUGACCAACUCCAGGAUUGUCAAAAGACUUGCAUGUAGAAAUAAAGUUGAUGAGAUGCAUAUUCGGAUCAUCGCCUGCUAGUCCACCAAAUAAUCCCUUGAGUUGCAAUAACUGAAUCAUGGUGCUAGUGAUGUUGAACUUGGCUCCGGGCGCUAAUGGUGGUGGAAUUAUAGCUCCAGUGGCUCCGGCACCAUCAAGAUCAUCAUCAUCAUCGUCGAAAGCUGGUUGCAAAGGUUGGCGAUCAUAUCUGUACCGAGCUUGUCGACCUCGUCUGUUGGUAGGUGUUGCCAUUUCAGCGCCAUGCCUUGGGUUGAUCAACUCGUCAUCUCCUAAAUCUUCAUCGUCAGGAUUUGUUGCUCGUCCAGGAUUAUCAAUGUUUUGUUGUUGGACUUGAGCAGCGGCAAGAGCAGCUAAUCUUGCUUGCUCAUGUUGAGCAGCCAUCCUGUCGAUUUCCGCUUGUGCUUCCAUUCUUCUGAUUCGUUGUGGUUCCGGAUUGAUUGGUAAUAACGGUUGACCAGAACUUCUAGUAUGGGGCAUGCACUAAAAGAAAAACCUGCAAUAAACAAAAACAAAAACUAAACGUAAAAGUACGAGAAUCUUUGACCAAAGGGUCUAGUAAUUUUCACGAACUUGAUUGACACUCGUAUUCCCCGGCAACGGCGCCAAUUUUUGAUAACGCUCAAUCUACAGCUCUCGUGGGAGUGUAAAGCGGUCGUUAGCAAAUAUAGAACCCAACCUGGGUUGGGUAUCGAUCCCACAGAGAAUAGCUUGGCCAACAAGCAAGAAAAAUUACUAGACUUUUAGUGCAAGUCUCGUAGGAAAGGGGGGAUUGUAGUAUGUAACCAAAACAAGAAUGUAAGAACUGAAAAUAGCAAAAUAAAGAGAGAUUGUCACGUGUGUUGUAAACAAUGAGAAUUGAGGCGUUGGGGUUAUGUCCACCUUCUGAGGUAUACGUCUCUAUUGGCUAUGAGUGUGUAGAGUCUUGACAUGUAAUUGCUUAUAGAGAAUUGUAGUCGAUGGUAAAUCCAAGCGUCUCUCGACCUAAACAAGGACUAUUUCACUUUAACUCUCUCGAGCUUAAAGCGUGACUAACGGUACGAAUUCUCCAAGAAGUUAGUCCAGGUACGGCACUAGCUUUUUAAUAGGAAAGGGUGUCCUACUACCUUGACAUUAUCUCUUUUCCAGACAAAUAACUUUUCUCUCGAACAAGUCAGAUGUUAGACUGGCGUUGGUCUAUGCGUCUUCUUUUCUAGACAAAUAACCUUUCUCUCGAACAGGUUAGAUGUUAGAAUGGCGUGUUCUUGUGUUUGAACCGCAAAGAAUGUAGAUUUAAGAUGAAGAGAAUAAUGAUAUAAGCAAUAUACUUGUCUUGAACUCACAAACUCAUAGCUAUAGAUAGUAACUCAUUCGGCUUCCAUAACCCCAACUAAGAGAUUUAGUUACCCAUGAAUGCGAAGGAUAUCACGUUUUGCAUGGUGGAUGGCGUGAAUAGUAGGUGUUUGGCGUGUGGUUUUAGUGAUUCCGUAGCAAGUAACAAUUCUCUUGUUGUGGAAUUUAAGAGUAGAAGAAUGAAGAAUUGAGAAUGGGUUGUAGGAAGAUGUCUUAAUUGUAAGGAGAUGAAUGAAUUGUCAGAAUGUCUCCCUUCUUGAAAAUCUCUAACAUGAUAGGGUAUUUAUAAUACUCCUAUCCUACUCCUACUAAACUAAUAAAAUAAAUAACCAAAUCCUAAUAUACUAAUGAAAUCCUUGACCCAAUUGUACUAGGGUAAGGUUACAAAAUUAUAAUCCAAAUAGAAUGAUGAAACACAUAACCUAAUUGCACUAGGUUAAUGUAUUAUGGCAAAAAUCCAGCUUUGUGUCUGUAAGUCCCAAAGUCUUCAGAAAUGCUGUUUUAGCCCGGGACAGAUUUUCCAUGCAGCAGAUUUAGUCCUUUAUGCGUCCAGCUCCUUUCCAUCUCGUUUGUGAGCUUUCUUUUGCGUCAAGUAAGCCAUAAAUUGCUGUAUUUUGCAUCAUUUAUACCUGAAACUUUCCUAAUCACAUUUGUUAGCUCAUUUACAGGAAAAAGGACUAAAAGUGUACGAAAUAGAUAAUUAGUUCUCGAAACUAGGCUAAAAUAUGGGCAAAAUAUAUUGAUAUAGGCGCGUAAUUUCGCCUAUCAUCAAUGCUAUCCAAUAUCCCUAAAUUGAUUUCCGGUGCACAAAAUGAGAAUCUUCGGGCUAUUCCUACUUUGGAAGUAGUAAAAGAGGUGGUCUUCUCUAUGAGUCCUCAUUCAGCAGAAAGUCCAGAUGAUAUGAAUGGUAAAUUCUUUCAAUCCUGAUGGAACAUUAUUGGUAUGGACCUUCUACAGGUGGUGCUUUUCUUCUUUUGUAGUCAUGUUAUGCCAAAGUAGUUUGCUUAUACUUGUUUGAUUCUUCUUCCUAAAGUGUCUCAUCCUAGAAAACUGUCUGAAUAUAGGCCUAUCAGCUUGAGAAACUUUACCAAAAAAAUCAUUUUUAAACUUUUGCAGACGAUGUAGUCCUGAUAGAUGAGACUCGACGGGGUGUGAAUGACAAAUUAGAGUUGUGGAGGCAAACUCUGGAGUCUAAAGGGUUCAGGGUGAGCAGAACUAAGACAGAGUAUGUGGAAUGUAAUUUUAAUGACGUGAGGCGGGAGAAUGAGGUAGUAGUGAGGCUAGAAGCACAGGAGGUAGGGAAGAGGGAUAAGUUCAAGUAUCUCGGGUCCGUGAUCCAGAGUAACGGUGAGAUUGACGAGGAUGUCUCGCACCGUAUUGGGGCGGGAUGGAUGAAGUGAAAACUCGCAUCGGGGGUGCUGUGUGAUAAGAAGGUGCCGCCCAAGCUUAAAGGCAAAUUCUAUAGGGUGGUAGUCCGUCCGGCCUUGCUGUAUGGAGCGGAGUGUUGGCCAGUUAAGAACUCCCACAUCCAAAAAAUGAAGGUGGCAGAAAUGCGGAUGUUGCGCUGGAUGUGUGGACUGACCCGAGGGGAUAGAGUUCGGAAUGAGACUAUCCGGGAGAAGGUUGGUGUGACUUCAGUGGAGUGUAAGAUGCGGGAAGCACGAUUGAGAUGGUUCGGACACGUGAAGAGGAGGGGCAUGGAUGCCCCGGUCCGUAGGUGUGAGAGGCUAGCGUUGGAUGGUUUUAGACGGGGUAGGGGUAGACCGAAGAAGUACUGGGGUGAGGUGAUUAGGCGGGACAUGGAACAGUUACAGCUCACCGAGGACAUGACCCUAGAUAGGAAGGUCUGGAAGACGCGAAUUACGGCAGAGGAUUAGGGCCUGUUCGGGUCGCUAAUGUAGGGAGGUAAUUGGUGGGGGUGUAUUCCUGGUAUGAUUCCGUAUUCAAUGUUCUGUUCCGUGUUCCGUGUUCUAUGUUUGUUACGAAUCUGUGUGCUUUCCUCUGCUUUAUAUUCCUGCUUUCCUGCUUUACUCUGUUUUAUAUUCCCUAUGGGUGCCGUAUCUAUGUUAUGUCAUCUGCUGCUGUGCUGUACUAUGUGUUUGUGUGAUAUCUCGUGACUUGAGCCGGGGGUCUUUCGGAAACAGCCUUUCUACUUCAUCAGAGGUAGAGGUAUGGACUGCGUACAUCUUACCCCCCCCCAGACCCCACUAAGUGGGAAUACACUGGGUUUGUUGUUGUUGUUGUUGUACCUCUGAUUAGCUCCCAUCCUUCUCUCUCUUAUUUCAAGCAAUCAAUCAGGAUUUGUGAGAGAUAAGAACAUUGCUGAAAACAUAAUGCUUGCUUAGGAGAUCAUUUGUGGCAUCAAAAAACCAAUAGUUAGAGGAAAUAUGGUUAUUAAGAUGGACAUGGCCAAGGCAUAUAAUAGGGUGUCUUGGUAAUACACUUUCCUAGUAUUAAGGAAAUUUGGCUUUGGUGAACUCAUUAUUGACAUAAUUUGGAGGACCUUGUCAAACAAUUGGUAUUCAGUCUUAGUGAAUGGUACUAGAUAUGGUUUUUUCUCUCUACAAAGGGGGUUAAAAUAGGUGACCCCCUAUCACCUGCUUUAUUCAUCUUAGGGGCUGAAGUAUUGUCAAGAACCUUGAACAACCUACACCACAACCCUCACUUUUGUGGUUUCCAUAUGGAUUGGAAUGGUCCUUAUAUUAACCAUCUCAGUUUUGCAGAUGAUAUCAUCAUCUUUACUACAGGAAGAAGAAAAACUCUUAGAUUGGUGACGAAGACUUUGGUUUCUUAUGAAAUAGUUUUUGCCAACUGAUCAACAAGAACAAGACCCAUUUCUUAUUACCUGAUCAAGCAUUUCCCUCUACAGUCUCAAGUAUUAAAAAAGAAACUGGAUUUCAGCAAAAACACAGUCCUAUUACGUACCUUGGUUGUCCCAUUUACAUUGGAAGAUAAAGAAUUAGUCACUAUGCUGGUCUACUUAGAAAUGUGUCAGCCAGAAUUACAGGAUGGCAUUCUAAACUGCUAAGCUAUGGUGGUAGAAGUGUAUUGAUUAAACAUGUUCUGCAAUCUAUACCUAUUCACAUCCUUUCUGGUUUCAUUCCUCCAAAGACUAUUAUUAAGUAACUUGUGUGUUUGUUUGUUGAUUUCCUUUGGGGAUGGAAGGACAACAAGAAGAAAUAUCAUUGGGCUUCUUGGAAGGGGCUUUGUUUCCCAAUCACAGAAAGCGGCAUUGGAGUUAGACAUGUUGCUGAUACAUGUAAGGCUCUUUUAUCUGGUGGAUAUUCAGAAGCAGACACACUCUUUGGGGGGAUUUUUUACUAUCCAAGUAUUGCAAAAGAGUGAAUGCAGCUGCCAGGAUAGGGCGUCCUGGGCAAUCCCUGGUAUGGAAAGCUAUGAUGAAAAACAAGAAGACAGCUGAACAACAUAUUUUUUAGAGGAUCAGAUCAGGCACAUGUUACUUUUGGUAGGAUAACUGGUCUGGCCUAGGAGCAUUAAAUAACCACAGAAUUGAUGAUGUAAGGUCCAGUAAUACCAAAGUAGCUGACUUUUUAAUUGAUGGUGAGUGGAACAUGUAGAAGCUAGCUACUGUACUUCCCCCUCCUCUACUGCAGGCUAUCAUCAAAAUUCAGGUCCAAUUUAGGAAAACUCCCUUAACUUCCCACUGUGGACUACAAAUCCAAGUGGUGAUUUCAGUUGUACAUCUGCACGGGGGUUGAUUAGAGAGCAUAGAGAAGUAACUUUGCUGCAGAGUCAUUUAUGGCAUAGGUUGAUUCCCUUCAAAUGUUCCUUUCUUACAUGGAGAGUACUAAGAAGGAAGUUACCUAUAAAUGAAAGCCUGAGUCAAUUUGGUAUAGCUUUUGUUAAAUAUGGAUGCUGCUCUUAUUCUUACUAGGACAACAUACCUCAUACUUUUGUUGAGGGUCCCUUUGCAACUCAAAUAUGGAGGCAUUUCUCCUCAUCUAUGGGCAUUGUUCAUAUUCCUGCACUAAUCAAGAACCUGCUGCUGAAGUGGUGGAAAACUAGAGAAUCAAAUACUACCCAUAUGUUGUUAUUGCAGGCUUUUCCUAGUAUCAUUUGUUGGAACUUGUGGAAGAGCAGGUGUGCUGUUAAAUAUGGAGACAAAAUGCCUCAAUUAGCUAGAUUCAGGUUUCUGAUUUACAAAGACAUUUCACUUUUGAUAUACAAGGCUUUUCACUACAUCCUCUGUCUUCUGGAUGGGUUAAUCUAGCAGCUUAUGUGGAGAAAUACAUCCAUAAGUUUAAAGUUACAAGUGUGUAUUGGUCUAAACCACCAGCUCUAAUGGUCAAGUUAAAUUCUUAUGGUAGUGCUAUCACUAACCCUGGAAAAAUUAGUGCAGGGGGUAUGAUUAGAGAUCAUAAGGGUGAUCUUAUAUAUGCCUAUGCUGCUCCUCUGGGACAAGGAACUAAUAAUCAAGCUGAGAUAGAAGCUGCUAUAUGGGGAAUAUCAUGGUGUUUGAGUAAUGAUAUACAAUAGGUUGUAUCGGAAGUGGUCUCUGAGCUCUUGAUCAAAUAGAUCGGGAAAUAAAUACCAAUACUAUGGAACCUGCAACCCUUGGUGGAUUCCUUACAACAGCUCAUUUCAUAGCUUCAACUAUGUAUUUACAGACAUGUGUUCAGGGAAGCUAAAUUUGUAGAAGAUGCUUUGUCAAAGGUAAGCCAUCAACAUGAUCAGCUACAACACUAUUUCCAUAGUUGUCAGCUCCCCUCAGUAGUAGCUGGAUACUUGCACCUUGAUAAGCUAGGCAUACCAUGCUUCAGGAGAAGGAAGAUGACUAAGUUAUGUAUCCCACCUUAGAACUAGUUUACCUUUUCAUAGCUAUAGAGCAUAUUCUUUGUAUUUCUCUUGCAACAGUUACACUUUAGCUGUAAUCACAAAUUGGAGGUCAGGUUUUUGCCCCCCUCUAUGUAUAUUUUUUGUGUGAUUAAUGAUAAUGCCUGGGGGUGAUACUUAGCCCCUAAAAUUCUUUUUUUUUUAAAAAAAAAGAAAAUUUAUGUAUAAAAACUAUAUAAGGUGUGUAGAAACGGUAUUGUACAAGCCAACAAAUUGAAAUGGCUAUAAUGUGAAAUUUAAAUUUCAUGGACAUUUUCGUGGAAAUAGUUUAAUUUAAAGUAUCGUUUCUAUUCUUUCUCCAUAUUUUAACUCAUGCACGGAAGAUUAAAAUUGUCGGUUCUUAUAAGUAAUAAAUUAUGUUCUCAAUCAAAGAUGAUGUAGGACAAACAUCUUGAUGAUUGUAGCAC